AUGAAGACGAGUUUUCUAUGAGAUAACAUUUGAGAAAAACAAUAAAUUUUUUUUUGGUUACGGAAAAACAAUAAUUUACUACAGGUAAAAAUUGCUUAAUUACAAGGAAGGUAGUUCUUUUUUUUUUUUUGACAAACAAGGAAGGUAGUUCUAAAUUCUGAACAAUGUAGAAGUGCAGCAUUCAUCCAAAUACACCGGUGGGGGGUGAAAAGGUGUGAGAGAACUGUGUAUAAUGGCAUUAAAAAAAAGAAAAAGAACUGUGGAUAAUCGCAAUACGGUGAAAUAUUAGAAGCAAUAAAUUGUGUUGCCACUUGGAGUUGAAAAGUUAUAUAUAGGUAGACGUCUCAUUACCAUUUGAUUCAUAAUCAUAUCUUAAAAAAGUAUUAUAUAUAUAUAAUAAAAUAUUUCCAAUGAGACAGGUAGAAUGUUGGCCAAAUAAAGAAAUAGAUUAGUAGCUAAAAGGAUGUCGUGAUUUACUACAGAAAAUUUUCGGUUAAUAUAUGCAGCUUGUCAACCCG
rnacentral:lncRNA from 1 species